CUUUUCUACCCAAGGAUGCCAGAAAGCCUGCAAAGACCAUUAUUGUACAAUUAUUGUUUCUUUCUUGCUUUAGAUUUAAUGGCAGAAUACCAUUUGAGACAGGGGAUGCUCGCUUAGCAAGCAAGUUUUUGUUAAAACAACGAGACACAGGAAAUGCACAGAAACCUUGCAGGCAAUAUUGUUAUGAAUCAGUCAGACAAUCUGUUGUAAGGGACCAUGCUGCUACUAUUUCUCUUAUAUUAAUAUUUCUCUAAUAUCCAGGCUCUGAAAUUUGCAGUAUCCCAAUAUCUAAAAUUUGGUUUUAGAUUCCAAACUGUGAAUGACGUGUAUAUUAAUCCCAAUAGCUUUGGCCAAAUAAAAAUAAUAGUUGGUUUCAGGUUUCCGACCAACUUGUCAAAAAUAUGACCGACCAUAAACAUUUUAUUGACAUUUCCCAGUAGAAAUCAUCUUUUCGUAAAUAUAGCAGAAUAUAUAAAUAGUCAUCAGACUCAUUUGUCAACAAAUUAUUUUGUUUGCUUAUAAUUUAAUCAUUAUCUAGUCAUGUUAAUCAUAGUUUUACACAAAGAACAGUUGAAUAAAAUAUUAAAAACGUACAUUAUUCUCAGUAUUCUGACAUGGGAUCUACAGUAGAAAAAAGAUGAAAAUGCCUUGAUGCAUUUGUUUCUUGCAAAACAGUGUUUUGCAAGACACAAAUGCAUCAAGGCAUUUUCAUCUUUUUUCAGCCGUAGAUCCCAUGUCAGAAUACUGAAAAUAAUGUAUGUUUUUAAUAUUUUUAAACACAUGUGGCUUGCAUGUACUGUAACAUGUUUCUCGUGAAACACAUGUAAAAACAAUAAAAACUAAGAGUUUAUAAUGAGUUGUAACUUAUAUUUAUUGCAUACUUGAGAUAAAAUAUUUUUUAAAAUAAAAUGUUUUUCCCACCUACCUACCCAUAUAAAACAUGGCUGUGAGACCUGAAACCAACCAUUUUUUUAUUUGGCCUUAAUCGAAUACUAUUAAAGUCUAUUAGGGUGAGGUGGUUUUAAAGAUGCGGUACAGUCUGAUCUGCGCAUGUGCACAAAGGAGCCCUCUUUUUAUUUACAAACAGUUUAUUUAGGUAUUUAUCUCAUUUUAUGUUUUUGCAAAGCUUGAUUGUUGUCUCUUGAUAAUUUAUUAUACUCUAGAAUCAUGAAAAUAUUAAUAGUUGUUGAAUAAAAUUCAAUAUUUUGGAUACCGAAAUGUAAACAAAGCCUUUGUUUACAUACAGACUGUACCGCAUCGUUAAACCUGAUGUUUUUUGAAAACCGAAAUACUCUAUGUUACUUUUGGAGAAAAACAAAAAAAAAACGAGGAAAAAUACUAAAAUCAAACCAUAAUUAUAUGUGAGUUUGUUGCAAAUGAAUCACGUUUUGGCAUUUACACAUGAAAACUAAAGACUUUUUGUUUGAAAUUUGAUAACGUCUUACAUUUAUUCGUUGAAAUUUGAUAACGUCUUACAUUUAUAACAAAAUGUUUUGUUUAAUGUUUGUGGGAGAUUCUUUUUCGCCUAAAUAGAUGAUUAUCAUCUACAGUAUUUACUUUUUCACAAUUGAUGCUGUUCAUCUACUUUGGAGGAGACUGUGUUGCUGUCAGUGAUGAUGUCAAGACAGCUACUGAUUGUGAGGGAUGCAACUACUGUACUAGAAAAAUAUAAGCAGAAAAGUACAAGCAGAACUUCAAUGUUACGACUUACAAGUGUAGGCCCUUCUACUAACUCCUGGGCCUUUGCUCAAAACGUUGAAUUCCUGCCUUUAUUUUUCAGCUAGUUGUAUCGCUUUCAAUCCACAGCUGCCUAGAAUGACAUACAUAAUUCUGACUAUGUUUUGUGUGCAUCUUUAUGACAUUGAUUCUUUACAGGACUUUGUGUCGUCAGAUGUUCAUUCUGUGUGUUAUGCAGUGAGUGAGAAGAAAAACAUGGUUGUGACUUAUGAAACAGUUCCAAGUGUUGAUAUGUUUCAGGUAGAUC
rnacentral:lncRNA from 1 species